UAGNGGGGAAUAACUGUUGGAAACGACAGCUAAUACCGCAUAAUAUUGCUGGAUAAUUUCCAGUAAUGAAAGGAGCUUUCAAGCUCCGCUGAUUGAUGAGGAUGCGGCGCAUUAGCUAGUUGGUAGGGUAAUGGCCUACCAAGGCAAUGAUGCGUAGCCGAUCUGAGAGGAUGAACGGCCACAUUGGGACUGAGACACGGCCCAAACUUCUACGGAAGGCAGCAGUAGGGAAUUUUUCACAAUGGGCGAAAGCCUGAUGGAGCAAUGCCGCGUGACUGAUGAAGGUCUUCGGAUUGUAAAGGUCUGUUGUAAGGGAAGAAAUGGUAAAACAGGAAAUGGUUUUAUCUAUGACGGUACCUUACCAGAAAGCCACGGCUAACUAUGUGCCAGCAGCCGCGGUAAUACAUAGGUGGCAAGCGUUAUCCGGAUUUAUUGGGCGUAAAGGGUGCGUAGACGGUUUUGCAAGUCUGAGGUUAAAUUUAGGAGCUCAACUCCUAAUCGCCUUGGAAACUACAAGACUAGAGUAUAGGAGAGGUUAGUGGAAUUCCAUGUGUAGCGGUGGAAUGUGUAGAUAUAUGGAGGAACACCAGUGGCGAA
rnacentral:rRNA from 1 species